rnacentral:rRNA from 1 species
GUUUGAUCCUGGCUCAGAUUGAACGCUGGCGGAAUGCUUUACACAUGCAAGUCGAACGGUAGAGGGGGCAACCCCUUGAGAGUGGCGAACGGGUGAGUAAUAUAUCGGAACGUGCCCAGUCGUGGGGGAUAACGUAGCGAAAGUUACGCUAAUACCGCAUACGAUCUAAGGAUGAAAGCGGGGGAUCGCAAGACCUCGCGCGACUGGAGCGGCCGAUAUCAGAUUAGGUAGUUGGUGAGGUAAAGGCUCACCAAGGCGACGACGGGUAGCCGGCCUGAGAGGGCGACCGGCCACACUGGGACUGAGACACGGCCCAUACUCCUACGGGAGGCAGCAGUGGGGAAUAUUGGGCAAUGGAGGGAACUCUGACCCUGUGACGCCGCGUGCGGGAUGAAGGCCUUCGGGUUGUAAACCGCUUUCAGCAAGGAAGAAGCGAAAGUGACGGUACUUGCAGAAGAAGCACCGGCUAACUAUGUGCCAGCAGCCGCGGUAAUACAUAGGGUGCAAGCGUUGUCCGGAAUUAUUGGGCGUAAAGAGCUCGUAGGUGGUUCGUCACGUCGGAUGUGAAAAUCCUGGGGCUUAACCCCUGACCUGCAUUCUAUACGGGCGAGCUAGAGUGUGGUAUGGGAGAUUGGAAUUCCUUGGUGUAGCGGUGGAAUGCGUUUAUAUCUUGAGGAACAUUCAUGGUGAAUGUAGGUCUCUGGGGCCUUUACUGACCCUGAGUAGUGAAAGCCUGCGGAACCUAUAGGAUUAGAUACCCUGGUAGUCC